UGGUGGAGUGAUUUGUCUGGUUAAUUCCGUUAACGAACGAGACCUCGACCUGCUAAAUAGUUCUAGGAAUCAAUCGAUUCUCUAGAUACUUCUUAGAGGGACUAUCGGUGUGUAGCCGAUGGAAGUUCGAGGCAAUAACA
rnacentral:rRNA from 1 species